rnacentral:rRNA from 1 species
CUGGUUGAUCCUGCCAGUAGGCACCGCUAUUGGCUUUCGCUUAAGCCAUGCGAGUCCAGAGUGGUCAAGCACUCGGCGCACGGCUCAGUAACACGCGGUCAACCUGCCCUCAAGUGGAGAAUAAGCUCGGGAAACUGAGGAUAAUGCUCCAUAGCCCACCUAUGCUGGAAGGCUUGGUGGGCCAAAGCUCCGGCGCUUGAGGAUGGGACUGCGGCCUAUCAGGUUGUAGUGGGGGUAACGGCCUCACUAGCCUACAACGGGUACGGGCGUUGGGAGACGUCGCCCGGAGAUGGAUUCUGAGACACGAAUCCAGGCCCUACGGGGCGCAGCAGGCGCGAAAACUUCGCAAUGGGGGAAACCCCGACGAGGGAAAGCCAAGUGCCAGCACAAUGUGCUGGCUGUUUCCUGUCUAAAAAACAGGGAGAGUAAGGGCUGGGUAAGACGGGUGCCAGCCGCCGCGGUAAUACCUGCAGCCCGAGUGGUGCUCGUUAUUAUUGGGUCUAAAACGUCCGUAGUCGGUUGAGUAGAUGCCCGGGUAAAUCGCAGCGCUUAACGUUGCGAAUUCCCGGUAGACCGCUCGACUAGGGAUUGGGAGAGG